AGCAGUUGCUAUAUAUAGAAAGCAAAUGGAGAUAGGCACGCGUACACACACAUGCAUACAUUGUAGGGAGAAAAAGAAAUUUUCCUUUUAAAGUCCCAUUAAGCUCAAUGGAUUGUUCCCAUGAACUUCAAUAGACCUUUUUCCUUCCAAGAAAGUUAAUAUGCAUACUUUCUGAACAGAAAAUUUUUCCUCAAAACAAUCAAAUCCAAAGGUCAAAUUGUUCACUCCAAAAGAAAA
rnacentral:misc_RNA from 1 species